rnacentral:rRNA from 1 species
UACGAAGGGGGCUAGCGUUGUCCGGAAUUAUUGGGCGUAAAGAGCUCGUAGGCGGUCUGUCGCGUCUGCUGUGAAAACUCAGGGCUUAACCCUGAGCUUGCAGUGGGUACGGGCAGACUAGAGUGCGGUAGGGGAGACUGGAAUUCCUGGUGUAGCGGUGAAAUGCGCAGAUAUCAGGAGGAACACCGGUGGCGAAGGCGGGUCUCUGGGCCGUAACUGACGCUGGAGGAGCGGAAAAGCCAUGGGGGAGCGAACAGG